GAUGAAGAACGCAGCGAAAUGCGAUAAGUAAUGUGAAUUGCAGAAUUCAGUGAAUCAUCGAAUCUUUGAACGCAUCUUGCGCUCCUUGGUAUUCUGAGGAGCAUGCCUGUUUGAGUGUCAUUAAAUUCUCAACUACACUGACUUUGAAUUGGUGUGGCUUGGAUUUGGGGGGAAAAUUGUUGUGGGCUUUUUGUAUAGUCUGCUCCCCUGAAAUUGAUUAGCGGUACCUUUGUGGAACUGUCUACAGGUGUGAUAAUUAUCUACAUCUUAGACAUCUGCUGGAAUGCUGCUUUCUAAACCUUACUUGUAUUGACAAUCUUGACCUCAGAUCAGGUAGGACUACCCGCUGAACUUAAGCAUAUCAAUAAGCGGAGGA
rnacentral:misc_RNA from 1 species